rnacentral:tRNA from 1 species
GGAAGCGUCGCAUAGAGGCUUAGUGCAUCUGUCUUGAAAACAGAAGUGUCGAAAGGCACCGUGAGUUCGAAUCUCACCGCUUCCGCCU